UAGGGAAUAUUGGUCAAUGGACGCGAGUCUGAACCAGCCAUGCCGCGUGGAGGAUGAAGGUCCUCUGGAUUGUAAACUUCUUUUAUCUGGGACGAAACACUUCUUUUCUAAGAGGCCUGACGGUACCAGAUGAAUAAGCACCGGCUAACUCCGUGCCAGCAGCCGCGGUAAUACGGAGGGUGCAAGCGUUAUCCGGAUUCACUGGGUUUAAAGGGUGCGUAGGUGGGUAUGUAAGUCAGUGGUGAAAUCCCCGAGCUUAACUUGGGAACUGCCAUUGAUACUAUAUAUCUUGAAUACCGUAGAGGUAAGCGGAAUAUGUCAUGUAGCGGUGAAAUGCUUAGAUAUGACAUGGAACACCAAUUGCGAAGGCAGCUUACUAUGCGGUGAUUGACACUGAGGCACGAAAGCGUGGGUAGCAAACA
rnacentral:rRNA from 1 species